rnacentral:rRNA from 1 species
AUUGAACGCUGGCGGCAGGCCUAACACAUGCAAGUCGAGCGGAUGAAGGGAGCUUGCUCCUGGAUUCAGCGGCGGACGGGUGAGUAAUGCCUAGGAAUCUGCCUGGUAGUGGGGGAUAACGUCCGGAAACGGGCGCUAAUACCGCAUACGUCCUGAGGGUGAAAGUGGGGGAUCUUCGGACCUCACGCUAUCAGAUGAGCCUAGGUCGGAUUAGCUAGUUGGUGGGGUAAAGGCCUACCAAGGCGACGAUCCGUAACUGGUCUGAGAGGAUGAUCAGUCGCACUGGAACUGAGACACGGUCCAGACUCCUACGGGAGGCAGCAGUGGGGAAUAUUGGACAAUGGGCGAAAGCCUGAUCCAGCCAUGCCGCGUGUGUGAAGAAGGUCUUCGGAUUGUAAAGCACUUUAAGUUGGGAGGAAGGGCAGUAAGUUAAUACCUUGCUGUUUUGACGUUACCAACAGAAUAAGCACCGGCUAACUUCGUG